GACGAACGCUGGCGGCGUGCUUAACACAUGCAAGUCGAACGGAAAGGCCCUGCUUUUGUGGGGUGCUCGAGUGGCGAACGGGUGAGUAACACGUGAGUAACCUGCCCUUGACUUUGGGAUAGCUUCAGGAAACUGGGGCUAAUACCGGAUAGGAGCUCCUGCUGCAUGGUGGGGGUUGGAAAGUUUCGGCGGUUGGGGAUGGACUCGCGGCUUAUCAGCUUGUUGGUGGGGUAGUGGCUUACCGAGGCUUUGACGGGUAGCCGGCCUGAGAGGGUGACCGGCCACAUUGGGACUGAGAUACGGCCCAGACUCCUACGGGAGGCAGCAGUGGGGAAUAUUGCACAAUGGGCGGAAGCCUGAUGCAGCAACGCCGCGUGCGGGAUGACGGCCUUCGGGUUGUAAACCGCUUUCGCCUGUGACGAAGCGUGAGUGACGGUAAUGGGUAAAGAAGCACCGGCUAACUACGUG
rnacentral:rRNA from 1 species